rnacentral:rRNA from 1 species
CCUACGGGAGGCAACAGUAGGGAAUAUUGCUCAAUGGGGGAAACCCUGAAGCAGCAACGCCGCGUGGAGGAUGAAGGUUCUCGGAUUGUAAACUCCUUUUGUUAGAGAAGAUAAUGACGGUAUCUAACGAAUAAGCACCGGCUAACUCCGUGCCAGCAGCCGCGGUAAUACGGAGGGUGCAAGCGUUACUCGGAAUCACGGGGCGUAAAGAGCGCGUAGGCGGGAUAGCAAGUCAGAUGUGAAAUCCUACGGCUUAACCAUAGAACUGCAUUUGAAACUGUUAUUCUAGAGUAUGGGAGAGGUAGGUGGAAUUCUUGGUGUAGGGGUAAAAUCCGUAGAGAUCAAGAGGAAUACUCAUUGCGAAGGCGACCUGCUAGAACAUAACUGACGCUGAUGCGCGAAAGCGUGGGGAGCAAACAGGAUUAGAUACCCCAGUAGUC